rnacentral:rRNA from 1 species
UUAAGGGCGCACGGUGGAUGCCUUGGCACUAGAAGCCGAUGAAGGACGUUACUAACGACGAUAUGCUUUGGGGAGCUGUAAGUAAGCUUUGAUCCAGAGAUUUCCGAAUGGGGAAACCCAGCAUGAGUUAUGUCAUGUUAUCGAUAUGUGAAUACAUAGCAUAUCAGAAGGCACACCCGGAGAACUGAAACAUCUUAGUACCCGGAGGAAGAGAAAGAAAAUUCGAUUCCCUUAGUAGCGGCGAGCGAAACGGGAAGAGCCCAAACCAACAAGCUUGCUUGUUGGGGUUGUAGGACACUCUAUACGGAGUUACAAAGGACGACAUUAGACGAAUCAUCUGGAAAGAUGAAUCAAAGAAGGUAAUAAUCCUGUAGUCGAAAAUGUUGUCUCUCUUGAGUGGAUCCUGAGUACGACGGAGCACGUGAAAUUCCGUCGGAAUCUGGGAGGACCAUCUCCUAAGGCUAAAUACUCUCUAGUGACCGAUAGUGAACCAGUACCGUGAGGGAAAGGUGAAAAGCACCCCGGAAGGGGAGUGAAAUAGAACCUGAAACCGUGUGCUUACAAGUAGUCAGAGCCCGUUAAUGGGUGAUGGCGUGCCUUUUGUAGAAUGAACCGGCGAGUUACGAUUUGAUGCAAGGUUAAGCAGUAAAUGUGGAGCCGUAGCGAAAGCGAGUCUGAAUAGGGCGUUUAGUAUUUGGUCGUAGACCCGAAACCAGGUGAUCUACCCUUGGUCAGGUUGAAGUUCAGGUAACACUGAAUGGAGGACCGAACCGACUUACGUUGAAAAGUGAGCGGAUGAACUGAGGGUAGCGGAGAAAUUCCAAUCGAACCUGGAGAUAGCUGGUUCUCUCCGAAAUAGCUUUAGGGCUAGCCUCAAGUGAUGAUUAUUGGAGGUAGAGCACUGUUUGGACGAGGGGCCCCUCUCGGGUUACCGAAUUCAGACAAACUCCGAAUGCCAAUUAAUUUAACUUGGGAGUCAGAACAUGGGUGAUAAGGUCCGUGUUCGAAAGGGAAACAGCCCAGACCACCAGCUAAGGUCCCAAAAUAUAUGUUAAGUGGAAAAGGAUGUGGCGUUGCCCAGACAACUAGGAUGUUGGCUUAGAAGCAGCCAUCAUUUAAAGAGUGCGUAAUAGCUCACUAGUCGAGUGACACUGCGCCGAAAAUGUACCGGGGCUAAACAUAUUACCGAAGCUGUGGAUUGUCCUUUGGACAAUGGUAGGAGAGCGUUCUAAGGGCGUUGAAGCAUGAUCGUAAGGACAUGUGGAGCGCUUAGAAGUGAGAAUGCCGGUGUGAGUAGCGAAAGACGGGUGAGAAUCCCGUCCACCGAUUGACUAAGGUUUCCAGAGGAAGGCUCGUCCGCUCUGGGUUAGUCGGGUCCUAAGCUGAGGCCGACAGGCGUAGGCGAUGGAUAACAGGUUGAUAUUCCUGUACCACCUAUAAUCGUUUUAAUCGAUGGGGGGACGCAGUAGGAUAGGCGAAGCGUGCGAUUGGAUUGCACGUCUAAGCAGUAAGGCUGAGUAUUAGGCAAAUCCGGUACUCGUUAAGGCUGAGCUGUGAUGGGGAGAAGACAUUGUGUCUUCGAGUCGUUGAUUUCACACUGCCGAGAAAAGCCUCUAGAUAGAAAAUAGGUGCCCGUACCGCAAACCGACACAGGUAGUCAAGAUGAGAAUUCUAAGGUGAGCGAGCGAACUCUCGUUAAGGAACUCGGCAAAAUGACCCCGUAACUUCGGGAGAAGGGGUGCUCUUUAGGGUUAACGCCCAGAAGAGCCGCAGUGAAUAGGCCCAAGCGACUGUUUAUCAAAAACACAGGUCUCUGCUAAACCGUAAGGUGAUGUAUAGGGGCUGACGCCUGCCCGGUGCUGGAAGGUUAAGAGGAGUGGUUAGCUUCUGCGAAGCUACGAAUCGAAGCCCCAGUAAACGGCGGCCGUAACUAUAACGGUCCUAAGGUAGCGAAAUUCCUUGUCGGGUAAGUUCCGACCCGCACGAAAGGCGUAACGAUUUGGGCACUGUCUCAACGAGAGACUCGGUGAAAUCAUAGUACCUGUGAAGAUGCAGGUUACCCGCGACAGGACGGAAAGACCCCGUGGAGCUUUACUGUAGCCUGAUAUUGAAAUUCGGCACAGCUUGUACAGGAUAGGUAGGAGCCUUUGAAACGUGAGCGCUAGCUUACGUGGAGGCGCUGGUGGGAUACUACCCUAGCUGUGUUGGCUUUCUAACCCGCACCACUUAUCGUGGUGGGAGACAGUGUCAGGCGGGCAGUUUGACUGGGGCGGUCGCCUCCUAAAAGGUAACGGAGGCGCUCAAAGGUUCCCUCAGAAUGGUUGGAAAUCAUUCAUAGAGUGUAAAGGCAUAAGGGAGCUUGACUGCGAGACCUACAAGUCGAGCAGGGUCGAAAGACGGACUUAGUGAUCCGGUGGUUCCGCAUGGAAGGGCCAUCGCUCAACGGAUAAAAGCUACCCCGGGGAUAACAGGCUUAUCUCCCCCCAAGAGUUCACAUCGACGGGGAGGUUUUGGCACCUCGAUGUCGGCUCAUCGCAUCCUGGGGCUGUAGUCGGUCCCAAGGGUUGGGCUGUUCGCCCAUUAAAGCGGUACGCGAGCUGGGUUCAGAACGUCGUGAGACAGUUCGGUCCCUAUCCGUCGUGGGCGUAGGAAAUUUGAGAGGAGCUGUCCUUAGUACGAGAGGACCGGGAUGGACAUACCUCUGGUGUACCAGUUGUCGUGCCAACGGCAUAGCUGGGUAGCUAUGUGUGGACGGGAUAAGUGCUGAAAGCAUCUAAGCAUGAAGCCCCCCUCAAGAUGAGAUUUCCCAACUUCGGUUAUAAGAUCCCUCAAAGAUGAUGAGGUUAAUAGGUUCGAGGUGGAAGCAUGGUGACAUGUGGAGCUGACGAAUACUAAUCGAUCGAAGACUUAAUC